rnacentral:rRNA from 1 species
GAUGAACGCUGGCGGCGUGCCUAAUACAUGCAAGUCGAGCGAACAGACGAGGAGCUUGCUCCUCUGACGUUAGCGGCGGACGGGUGAGUAACACGUGGAUAACCUACCUAUAAGACUGGGAUAACUUCGGGAAACCGGAGCUAAUACCGGAUAAUAUAUUGAACCGCAUGGUUCAAUAGUGAAAGACGGUUUUGCUGUCACUUAUAGAUGUAUCCGCGCCGCAUUAGCUAGUUGGUAAGGUAACGGCUUACCAAGGCGACGAUGCGUAGCCGACCUGCGAGGGUGAUCGGCCACACUGGAACUGAGACACGGUCCAGACUCCUACGGGAGGCAGCAGUAGGGAAUCUUCCGCAAUGGGCGAAAGCCUGACGGAGCAACGCCGCGUGAGUGAUGAAGGUCUUCGGAUCGUAAAACUCUGUUAUUAGGGAAGAACAAAUGUGUAAGUAACUAUGCACGUCUUGACGGUACCUAAUCAGAAAGCCACGGCUAACUACGUG